UCUUGAAAUGCUACACCUGUGUGAGAAUGUAUUUUAUAUGCGCUUGCAUGUGCCUGAGAAUGAACUAAUUGUACCAAGAUUUAUGUUGCUAAAAUGUUACUCCACAGCUUGAUUAGGCAGGAGUAGUUGAAGGUCACCGAACAUGUUUCUGUUUUUCUACGUGUAUAUUCUGUUCCUCCUUACACAUACCUAUGUCUUAGUUGGCUUUAAAAUAACAAUGUUGUUUAAUGCUGAGCCUGGGUACAGCACGAAAAGCACAUAGGAGAAGAUUAUGUUCUGUUUUCUUACAACGAACAUCUGUGUUCACUACCUGUGUUUUACUACCUAGUCAGAUGCUCAUCUCGCGAGAAGGGACGUUGACUCCCUCCCAUUGCGCAAUAACCCCGCCUCCGUGGCACCUUUGUUGCAAAGCUGUGUGUAUAAAUACUUUGUUCUGAUACAUUUUUUUUAACAGUGAUCUUGAAUAAACCAGACGUGAUUUGAUUCGUGUGGGUUGUUCUUUCAUUGUUCCGAGGCGCCUCUACAGUGUGGCAAAGAGAGAGCAUAAGGACCUGAGGGGAAAAUCUUCCUAACAAUCUGGUGACCCCGACGUGAUACUCUCGAUCAGGAUGCUCUGAAACAUCAUUGGAGUGAUAGAAACAACUUGACUGUCCGGGCUGCUGGAGAAAAGUCGAUUCUUCCACAUGACCUUGCAGCUGCGAGCACUACUAGCGUCCUUCCUCCCGUUUUGUUAUCUGUUGACUCCUCUCUGUGGGCUGAGCACAAAGAUGAGGUGGGUCUUGUCUCCUGUCCUCCAUACGAGGCCAGGGUAAAACAUUUGACACCUGUGUUUGUUAAACAGUAUCCUUUAUCUCCUGAAAAAACUAACGGCAUUGACUCUAUUUUGAAUU